CCCCCCGAGGGCGGGAUCUGAGCCUGAGGCCUGGCCCAGGGUCCCCCGGGGGCGGGAUCUGAGCCCGAGGCCUGGCCGGCCGCUGCGGCUCCUCCUCAUUCCCGCUGUCCUUCUUCGUUACUCUAUUGGCAGUGCUCCCGUCCUCCAAACUCCACCGCCUCCUCCAGCUCAGACGUUUGCACGUUUUAAAAAUACUCAUCAAGAUAAGAUGAAAGUCUUUGGAUUGGGACAUUUUGGAUUAUGUUUUUAAAAAUCAGCAGAAUGCAAGUGGUUUCUUAACUUAACAGACUUGCUUGUUCAAGGGCCUCAAGCCAUUAAAUCUGCUGAGACAGCCAGCGAUCGGUGCGGUGACACGUCCCUCUUGGCUCCCGCGCCCGCCUUCCUCUCCGGGAGGCCGCAGCGAGUGUGUUGGUUGGGGUGGGGACGCAGCGUGCAGUGUGCAGUGCGAGUCGGCGUCGAAUCGUCUGGGGAGCCGGCCUGUUUCCUUCCGGCGGCGCUGACCCACCCGGGCCUUCGAGCUCGCCCAGAUCCUCAGGGUUAUUGAGCCGGAGACCGUCCUGGUGAGGUGCAGCCGGCCCGGUCACCACUCCAUCCACAAGACGUUUAACUUUGAGAGGGUCUACGGCCCGGCGGAGGGCCAGGCCGCGGUGUUUGCCGACGUGUGCCCCCUGCUCACGUCUCUGCUGGACGGGUACAACGUCUGCAUCAUGGCCUACGGCCAGACCGGGAGCGGGAAGACCUACACCAUGCUGGGCCCGCAGCCCCCGGGCGCGGCGCAGGGCGACGCCGGACUCAUCCCCA